UUCAAUGCUCCUGCUUCCCGAAGUCGUUGAUGUAUACUUUGGAAAGUUUUUCUAUUAGGCACAUUAAGAUUAGAAAAUCGUGCACGGAAUAACCGAAUAGUUUCUAAUGAAUGUCAAUUAGCAAGUCCAUAAAUAUAAUGCAUGUCAGUCAUCUGGGCGUUCGUAUAGCCAUAGACGACUUCACUAACAAGACUUUAAGUAUUAAACAUAAAAAAUACACGUCUACAUUUUUCUAAAAUUUUGACAAACUCAAGUUUUUUUAGCUACGUUAAUCGGAAUGUUUUUAAAAGAUACCAACGGAAUUGUUAGAUUUUUUUUAUUACUUGGUAGGUCCAGUGUAGUACGGUAUAUUUUUAUUUCGGCUACUUUAAUAAUUUUAAAGCUAGCAAAAUUGGAUGGUUGAAAUUCUUUUUCGCCCCAUAUCUUCGAAACGAAACGUCCUAUCAAAAAUCAUAAAAGGACAAAAAUCAUAAAAGUUAAAAACCAAACCUAGUGGGAGAAAAUAUUGCAUUUUUGUAAUACACUCAGAUAGGAUAUGUUUUUGUUGUCAGAAAAAAUUAAGUAAAACAAGAUAAUGUUUGAAAUACGAAAAGGUAAUUCAAACAAUUAAACUUAAAAUUAUUACCGGUAUGUUAACGAUGCAUUUUGCAGUAAACGAUAUUAAAUAAUGAUCGAUACCUUUUUCCAUAAUCAAUUACAACAUGAUCUUUAGCAGUUCCAGUGAUACCAUCAUGAUGCUGAAAUAACGACAAGGCCUGUCUGGCACUAACCAAUAGGUGUUCCAACCCAUUGGUUUUGUCAGUUAUCCAGUUUGCUCCACGUUUGUCGCUGUGGUUUCAUUGAUGGACGUUAGAAAAACAAAAUACAAAGUGUACCGAAACUAUUAUACAAUAUCCGAAAGAGUGAAGCAAGAAUAACGAAAUGAAAAGAGAAAAUUGUAUAUGAGUCAAACUAAUAAAAAAUAAUUUUUUAUUAAUAGUUAUUAACAUUAUAAAAAAUUUAAUACUUAACAA